UACGAAGGGGGCUAGCGUUGCUCGGAAUCACUGGGCGUAAAGCGCACGUAGGCGGAUUGUUAAGUCAGGGGUGAAAUCCUGGAGCUCAACUCCAGAACUGCCUUUGAUACUGACGGUCUUGAGUUCGGGAGAGGUGAGUGGAACUGCGAGUGUAGAGGUGAAAUUCGUAGAUAUCCGGAGGAACACCAGUGGCGAAGGCGGCCACCUGGGCUGUACCUGACGCUCAAACACGAAAGCUAGGGGAGCGAACGGG
rnacentral:rRNA from 1 species